rnacentral:misc_RNA from 1 species
AUUAUUUAUUAUGGAACAUACAAGAACUAAAGCAAGAAAUGAUGAAGACGCUGCCGAUUUUGUUUAGUUUAAGGAAAGCCAAUCAGCUAAUCAGGGAAUGAGCGCCCAUUUUUUGUGGCCGAUGUUUUCAGAGUGUUAAAACUUUGGUUCUAAUGAAAGUUUUUAGCUAAAAAUGUACCUGAACAUUUUGGAAACAUAAGUAAAUGAUAAAA